rnacentral:rRNA from 1 species
UAGCUUGCUAAUGAAAUUCUUAGUGGCGGACGGGUUAGUAACACGUGAGAAUCCUACCCUUGAGUGGGGAAUAGCCUUUCGAAAGGAAGAUUAAUGCCCCAUAGUCUCUACGGAGUAAAGAUGCCUUCGGGUGUCGCUUAAGGAUGGGCUCGCGGCCUAUCAGCUAGUUGGUGAGGUAAGAGCUCACCAAGGCAACGACGGGUAGCUGGUCUGAGAGGACGAUCAGCAACACUGGAACUGAGACACGGUCCAGACACCUACGGGUGGCAGCAGUCGAGAAUCAUUCACAAUGGACGAAAGUCUGAUGGUGCAACGCCGCGUGGAGGAUGACGGCCCUAGGGUUGUAAACUCCUGUCAUCAGGGAGUAAGACUUAUUCGUUAAUAGCGUGUAAGUUUGAUAGUACCUGAAGAGGAAGGGACGGCUAACUUCGUGCCAGCAGCCGCGGUAAUACGAAGGUCCCAAGCGUUGUUCG